AAUGAACGCUGGCGGCAUGCCUAACACAUGCAAGUCGAACGAAGGCUUCGGCCUUAGUGGCGCACGGGUGCGUAACGCGUGGGAAUCUGCCCUCAGGUUCGGAAUAACAGCGAGAAAUUGCUGCUAAUACCGUAUGAUAUCGCGAGAUCAAAGAUUUAUCGCCUGAGGAUGAGCCCGCGUAGGAUUAGCUAGUUGGUGUGGUAAAGGCGCACCAAGGCGACGAUCCUUAGCUGGUCUGAGAGGAUGAUCAGCCACACUGGGACUGGGACACGGCCCAGACUCCUACGGGAGGCAGCAGUGGGGAAUAUUGGACAAUGGGCGAAAGCCUGAUCCAGCAAUGCCGCGUGAGUGAUGAAGGCCUUAGGGUUGUAAAGCUCUUUUACCCGGGAUGAUAAUGACAGUACCGGGAGAAUAAGCUCCGGCUAACUCCGUGCCAGCAGCCGCAGUAA
rnacentral:rRNA from 1 species